rnacentral:rRNA from 1 species
AUUGAACGCUGGCGGAAUGCUUUACACAUGCAAGUCGAACGGCAGCACGGGUGCUUGCACCUGGUGGCGAGUGGCGAACGGGUGAGUAAUAUAUCGGAGCAUGUCCGUAAGUGGGGGAUAACGUAGAGAAAUUUACGCUAAUACCGCAUAUUCCCUGAGGGGGAAAGGAGGGGAUCGCAAGACCUUUCGCUAACGGAGUGGCCGAUAUCGGAUUAGCUGGUAGGUGAGGUAAAGGCUCACCUAGGCGACGAUCCGUAGAGGGUCUGAGAGGAUGAACCGCCACACUGGGACGGAGACACGGCCCAGACUCCUACGGGAGGCAGCAGUGGGGAAUUUUGAACAAGGGGCGAAAGCCUGAUCCAGCCAUACCGCGUGAGUGAAGAAGGCCUUCGGGUUGUAAAGCUCUUUCGGACAGAAAGAAAUCCUAUCCGCUAAUACCGGGUGGGGAUGACGGUACUGUAAGAAGAAGCACCGGCUAACUACGUGCCAGCCGCCGCGGUAAAAC